rnacentral:snoRNA from 1 species
GCAGUGAUGACUUUCCAAUUAGUGCACGCGUUAGACUGCUGAUGCGGAUGAUGCAUACUGUAGACUGAGC